rnacentral:rRNA from 1 species
GACGAACGCUGGCGGCGUGCCUAAUACAUGCAAGUAGAACGCUGAAGGAGGAGCUUGCUUCUCUGGAUGAGUUGCGAACGGGUGAGUAACGCGUAGGUAACCUGCCUGGUAGCGGGGGAUAACUAUUGGAAACGAUAGCUAAUACCGCAUAAUAGUAGAUGUUGCAUGACAUUUGCUUAAAAGGUGCAAUUGCAUCACUACCAGAUGGACCUGCGUUGUAUUAGCUAGUUGGUGGGGUAACGGCUCACCAAGGCGACGAUACAUAGCCGACCUGAGAGGGUGAUCGGCCACACUGGGACUGAGACACGGCCCAGACUCCUACGGGAGGCAGCAGUAGGGAAUCUUCGGCAAUGGACGGAAGUCUGACCGAGCAACGCCGCGUGAGUGAAGAAGGUUUUCGGAUCGUAAAGCUCUGUUGUAAGAGAAGAACGAGUGUGAGAGUGGAAAGUUCACACUGUGACGGUAUCUUACCAGAUAGGGACGGCUAACUACGUG